GGGUCCAACUGGUGUUGGUAAAACCGAGCUUGCCAAAGCUCUUGCGGAGCAACUGUUCGAUGACGAGAACUUGAUGAUCCGAAUUGAUAUGUCGGAGUAUAUGGAGCAACAUUCAGUUUCUAGGCUUAUUGGAGCUCCGCCUGGAUAUGUUGGUCACGACGAAGGUGGACAACUAACUGAGGCAGUGAGGAGAAGGCCAUAUAGUGUCAUCCUGUUCGAUGAAGUGGAGAAGGCGCAUGUUGCUGUCUUCAACACCUUGCUCCAAGUUCUUGACGAUGGCCGGCUAACUGAUGGGCAAGGGAGAACAGUAGACUUCAGCAAUUCUGUCAUUAUCAUGACAUCUAAUUUAGGUGCAGAGUUCCUCCUUGCUGGAAUGGUUGGUGAGUCCUCAAUGCAGAUAGCCCGUGACCGUGUGAUGCAAGAGGUGAGAAGACAUUUUAGGCCUGAGCUACUGAAUCGGUUGGACGAAAUUGUUGUGUUCGACCCCCUAUCUCAUGAUCAACUGAGGAAGGUAGCUAGGCUUCAGAUGAAGGAUGUGGCCCUCCGCCUUGCUGAAAGAGGCGUUGCUCUGGCGGUCUCUGAUGCUGCUCUCGAUGUUGUUUUGUCUGAGUCCUACGAUCCUGUAUAUGGUGCGAGGCCGAUUAGGAGGUGGCUUGAGAAGCGUGUGGUUACUCAGCUGUCGAGGAUGCUUAUAAGGGAGGAGAUAGACGAGAACUCGACAGUGUUCAUUGAUGUAGUGCCUGGUAAGAAGGAAUUGUCGUACAAGGUGGACAAGAAUGGUGGACUGGUGAAUGCAGCGACUGGACGGAAGUCGGAUAUCCUGAUACAGAUCCCCAAUGGGGCUGUGAGAAGUGAUGCUGCUCAGGCUGUGAAGAAGAUGAAGAUAGUGCAGGAUGAUGAUGAGGAGGAGAUGGAAGAAGAUUAGGCAGCUUGGUAGCUUUUUGGCUUUAUCACUUUAUCUUUGUAAUGCUUGCUACUGAGACUGUGUGCCUGUUUAGGUUUACUGUUUGAUUGUAUCAAGUUAUCUAAACUUGAGUUUAAGUUCAGUCAUGGAAUGUAU
rnacentral:misc_RNA from 1 species